rnacentral:rRNA from 1 species
UACGUAGGUGGCAAGCGUUGUCCGGAUUUACUGGGCGUAAAGAGCGCGCAGGCGGUCGUUCAAGUCGCGUGUGAAAGCCCCCCGGCUCAACUGGGGAGGGUCACGCGAUACUGAUCGACUCGAAGGCAGGAGAGGGUAGUGGAAUUCCCGGUGUAGUGGUGAAAUGCGUAGAUAUCGGGAGGAACACCAGUGGCGAAGGCGACUACCUGGCCUGUUCUUGACGCCUGAGGCGCGAAAGCUAGGGGAGCAAACGGG